rnacentral:rRNA from 1 species
GACGUAGGGCGCGAGCGUUGUCCGGAUUUAUUGGGCGUAAAGAGCUCGUAGGCGGCUUGUUGCGUCGGCUGUGAAAACCCGUGGCUUAACUGCGGGCUUGCAGCUGAUACGGGCGGGCUAGAGUUCGGUAGGGGAGACUGGAAUUCCUGGUGUAGCGGUGAAAUGCGCAGAUAUCAGGAGGAACACCGGUGGCGAAGGCGGUUCUCUGGGAAUGACCUGACGCUGAGGAGCGAAAGUGUGGGGAGCGAACAGG